ACAAGGUGGCAAUCUAAUUCGGGGGAGAGACGUCACCUUAGUAUGAGGUUUUAGACUCGCGUUUUGAACGCCGUCAAGAGGUAGGUUUUCACAUAAGUCAUUUGCCUCACACUUUAUUGCCUUGAAUUUUAUUUUAUCAGUGCCACGUACAAAUGCUGAAAUGUAAUAAAGUAACCCUUUUUCUACAGAUUGGUUAUACUUUUUAGGCAAAACCAAAUAAGCAAUUACCUAGACUUUUGUUGCUGUUUGUAGAGAGGAACUGAUCCGGAGUGGAAAUCCAAUAUCGCGGCGGCUUAAGUUGAAUGUGUGUUUUAUGGUCGAUACUUUAUUUCCAUAGAAAGCUACACAUGCUAGAGAACCUACUCUUUUGCAAACGUCUAACCUCAAACUGCAGUUAGAAGUUUGCGGUAAACGUGGAUCUAAAGAUUUCUAUUGAUCUCGUAUUACUCCCCACAGGUACGCAAUCCCACUAGAAUACGUGGAAUAAAAUUUAUGAAUUUUGUCUGGCGCGGCAGAUGAACGACGUUUGAAUCGCUGCUGUGCCAGAGUUGUGUAGUAUGGCAGAGCUUUGCCUAACUUAAGUCAAAAGUUUGAUUCAGACGCCGUACUUCUGCCGUGCUUUUGUUGAAUAUAUUCCUGACUUUAGUUCGGCACGGCUGAAGCACGUCUGAACUGGGCCUUAGGGGCCUCAGUUACUUUGUCGAAAGUCGGUCAGUCCGUCCGUCCAUCCAUCAGACAGUCAGUCGGUCAGUCAGUCUGUCUGCACUGUCCGUCUGUCGGUGUUAGGGACAUGGUUUGUUGUUACUUGUGAUCGCCCUACCCAAAGGUAUUAAAUAAUUUUUUGGUCAUUUAUAUAAGGUCGGUUGGUCGUUCGUUUGUUACUCUUUGUUUAGCCCUAGUUUUAACUCAGUUGUUCGCAGAUUUGUAUUGCAAAGGAUUUAAUUGGGAGCUCUCACUACUCACUACGUACCUUUCAGGCAAAUAGAGGAAACAUUAAAACCUGCCACCAGAAUCAUUUUCUUAUUAGCGGAUUUGUAGAUUUCCUUCCUUCAGUUAUUUCACGACCUUACUGCUUGGGUUUGAGGCUUAAGGUUCUCUUGUUUGUUGUUGAUUGCAAACUAAAUAUUUCAAGAAACAACGCACCACUUUAGGCUCCAGAAGGCAGCACAGGACAGCUAUAGGAAGAAAGUCAGGCUAUGAAGAGCAGUUAGAACAGGUAAAUUGAAUUAUUUUGACUGCAAAGUGUCCUUACGGAUUAGGGCAACUAGAGAUUCGGUCGAAAGGUGUGCAGGUAAACCUUACUCACCGCAACUCUAUGUUUAUUGUACAAGUUACAUGAGAAAGAAAAUUUUUAGCAAGAGCUUCAAGCUCUGUUUCAUUCGGCUCUAUGUUCUUGUAAAAGUUUGCUGUAAGUUUCUUCUGAUCUUGGUUUUUUCCUUGGUUUAAGGCUCACGACAAUCAUUCUAAAACUUCUCGUCGCGGUUGACAGAUCAAGAAAAGUAGCUAUCACUGACCAUAUGAAAUGUUUCUUCCCUUCCUCUCAGGUCUCAACAGAAGGAGCGGCCUUCACUGAUCAGCGUUCUAAACUCUUUGAAGAGUGUCCAUCCUUACGACAAUCCCAUCGAUGAGGGUCCAAGCUUCUGUGAGGAUGAUCAAUACUACGACAGUAUAGACGCCAUAAUCCUUCGUCCUUUACUGGCCAACGUGGAGGGUGCUGUAGCAAAACUACCUGUCA